AGGUGUCAUGUCCCCUGCAAUUGGAGUUACCGACAGCCAUGAGCUACCAUGUGGGUGUUGGGAAUUGAACCCAGGUCCUGUGGAAGAGCAGCCAGUGCUUUUAACUGCUGAGCCAUCUCUCCAUCCCUCCUGAUCUCACUACUUAUAGACUUCAUCAUGCUGUUUGGUGCUUUCAUCCUUCUUUUACUUCCUCAGAUACUCAUUUUAGCCUGAUAAAAUUACAGAAGGCAAGAACCUUCAUCUGGCGAUGGAUCGAGAAAGAGACACA